GACAGAGGGUGCAAACGUUGUUCGGAAUUACUGGGCGUAAAGCGCGUGUAGGCGGCCCUGCAAGUCGGAUGUGAAAUCCCACGGCUCAACCGUGGAAGUGCAUUCGAAACUGCAGGGCUAGAGUCCUGGAGAGGAAGGUGGAAUGCUUGGUGUAGAGGUGAAAUUCGUAGAUAUCAAGCGGAACACCGGUGGCGAAGGCGGCCUUCUGGACAGUGACUGACGCUGAGGCAUGAAAGCGUGGGGAGCAAACAGG
rnacentral:rRNA from 1 species